GAUGAACGCUGGCGGCGUGCUUAACACAUGCAAGUCGAACGGACAGGCCCUGCUUUUGUGGGGUGCUCGAUUGGCGAACGGGUGAGUAACACGCGUGUAACCUGCCCUUGUCUUUGGGAUAACUUCAGGAAAAUGGGGCUCAUAUCGGAUAGGAGCUACUGCUGCAUGGUGGGGGUUGGAAAGUUUCGGCGGUUGGGGAUGGACUCGCGGCUUAUCAGCUUGAUGGUGGGGUAGUGGCUUACCAAGGCUUUGACGGGUAGCCGGCCUGAGCGGGUGACCGGCCACAUUGGGACUGAGAUACGGCCCAGACUCCUACGGGAGGCAGCAGUGGGGAAUAUUGCACAAUGGGCGGAAGCCUGAUGCAGCAACGCCGCGUGCGGGAUGACGGCCUUCGGGUUGUAAACCGCUUUCGCCUGUGACGAAGCGUGAGUGACGGUAAUGGGUAAAGAGGCACCGGCUAACUACGUG
rnacentral:rRNA from 1 species